UACAGAGGGUGCGAGCGUUAAUCGGAGUUACUGGGCGUAAAGGGCGCGUAGGCGGUUAUAUAAGUGAGAUGUGAAAUCCCUGGGCUUAACCUAGGAACUGCAUCUCAUACUGUAUGACUGGAGUAUUGUAGAGGGUAGUGGAAUUUCCGGUGUAGCGGUGAAAUGCGUAGAGAUCGGAAGGAACACCAGUGGCGAAGGCGGCUACCUGGACAAAUACUGACGCUGAGGCGCGAAGAGCGUGGGG
rnacentral:rRNA from 1 species